UUCUGUGUAUUAGCAGGUUUAUUUUCAGAGUUAUAGAAGUCCUCAUGUAAAAGCUCUCAAGUUAUUAUAAUUUCAGGGACAAAUAUUAAGUACAUAAGAAAACCUCUCAGAUAUUAUAGGCUUUGAUUGCAGUGUGAAUGGCUGACUUGAAACUGACAUCAACUACUUCUUGGGGAAGACAGCUCAACACAAAAAGGAUGUUUGUGAUCUGGAACUGAAUCUUCAAUAUCUCCAAGCAGGUAGAGCAUGGUUAAAUAAUGAGCUAUUCCCAGGUGGCACAUCAGCAAGGGUUGCACACUCAAGAUGAGUUUGAUGCUGAUUUCCAUUAUAUUCCACAGACCUCAACACAGGUGGCCGUUCUUCCUCUUCCUAAGUCAGAAAAUUUG
rnacentral:lncRNA from 1 species